AUCACCACUCGCCCAUCGUGGGCGCCGCCCUUCUCCCCAAUCCUCAUCCUCGUACUACCGCCGCCAAGAGCAGCACAAGCACCCGUCGCAUCACCGUCUUCAAUGAAUUCCUCCGUCUACUCGCCUACCCCGACUUCACUUGAUAGCCCGCCAGACGCAUCUCGAUGCUUCUGCUCCCUGGUUCUUAGGGCCUGUGGAUGAGACUGUGUCCCUGCCGUCCAAAAAUCAGCUGGCCCUCAUGCUCAUAGCGUUCAUGGAUCCAGGAAAAGGAGACGCCGGUGAUACUUCAACCACCAGAGAGCGUCGGAUGGGGACCACCAUCGUACGGGUCCGCUGGGACCGCUGCUAGCCUACUAGGGCAGCAACGAAUUGACAGGAAUCAUAAAAGCAUAUGGAGGAACUAUGUAUAGGCUACAAAUAAGCAUAAGAAGCAUUUUUACAGCAGAAGCCAAGUGUUCUGAUGAUUUUGUUUUUUCAAUUGUGUUUUCUGUUAUUGGUUUAGCAUGCACAUAUAUUGACAUGAUUUAUGGCAUGGCAUCUACCAUCUUUGUUAUAUUUAUGACAUCGUUCUUGAUUGAUGUGUGCGACAUGAAUGAUGGAUCUUUUUAACAUCCUGACCAUCAUUGUGUCGCUCAUUAUCGUAUUUUGUAUAUCAUUUAUGGGUUCACGGAUAUGAAAUGACAGGUUUCUUAUUUUUGAGAUC